CCCAUUGAUGUAAAGCGCCUCUCUUUCCAUAUGCUUCCACAUGUAGGCAUUCAGGAUCCCAGUAAUUCACCAACUAAUUCAUGCCAAGAGAAUAAUAUAUUUGAGGAACAACUGCAAGAUGAAAAUAGCAAUUCAGAAGUGAAAAAAGCAGAUCCUGUCGAGGAAAUAAAAGAUAACUGCACAGAAAUUAAUUCACCUUCAACUCAAACAGAAGAAUCAUUGCCAUCAUCCGCACAACCUGGUCUAUCUCCAAAAGUAGCAUCCGUGCAAACCCCUCCACAACCGCUGCCUAAUUUGAAGAUCGCUA
rnacentral:lncRNA from 1 species